rnacentral:rRNA from 1 species
GACGAACGCUGGCGGCGUGCUUAACACAUGCAAGUCGAACGGAAAGGCCCUGCUUUUGUGGGGUGCUCGAGUGGCGAACGGGUGAGUAACACGUGAGUAACCUGCCCUUGACUUUGGGAUAACUUCAGGAAACUGGGGCUAAUACCGGAUAGGAGCUCCUGCUGCAUGGUGGGGGUUGGAAAGUUUCGGCGGGUGGGGAUGGACUCGCGGCUUAUCAGCUUGUUGGUGGGGUAGUGGCUUACCAAGGCUUUGACGGGUAGCCGGCCUGAGAGGGUGACCGGCGACAUUGGGACUGAGAUACGGCCCAGACUCCUACGGGAGGCAGCAGUGGGGAAUAUUGCCCAAUGGGCGGAAGCCUGAUGCAGCAACGCCGCGUGCGGGAUGACGGCCUUCGGGUUGUAAACCGCUUUCGCCUGUGACGAAGCGUGAGUGACGGUAAUGGGUAAAGAAGCACCGGCUAACUACGUG